rnacentral:rRNA from 1 species
UGGGGAAUAUUGCACAAUGGGCGAAAGCCUGAUGCAGCAACGCCGCGUGAGUGAUGAAGGUCUUCGGAUUGUAAAGCUCUGUCUUUUGGGACGAUAAUGACGGUACCAAAGGAGGAAGCCACGGCUAACUACGUGCCAGCAGCCGCGGUAAUACGUAGGUGGCGAGCGUUGUCCGGAUUUACUGGGCGUAAAGGGUGCGUAGGCGGAUGUUUAAGUGAGAUGUGAAAUACCCGGGCUUAACUUGGGUGCUGCAUUUCAAACUGGAUAUCUAGAGUGCAGGAGAGGAGAAUGGAAUUCCUAGUGUAGCGGUGAAAUGCGUAGAGAUUAGGAAGAACACCAAUGGCGAAGGCGAUUCUCUGGACUGUAACUGACGCUGAGGCACGAAAGCGUGGGUAGCAAACAGGAUUAGAUACCCUGGUAGUCCACGCCGUAAACGAUGAGUACUAGGUGUAGGAGGUAUCGACCCCUUCUGUGCCGCAGUAAACACAUUAAGUACUCCGCCUGGGAAGUACGAUCGCAAGAUUAAAACUCUAAAGUGAAUUGAC